rnacentral:rRNA from 1 species
UACGGAGGGUGCAAGCGUUAUCCGGAUUCACCGGGUUUAAAGGGUGCGUAGGCGGGUUGGUAAGUCCGUGGUGAAAUCCCCAAGCUUAACUUGGGAACUGCCGUGGAUACUAUCAAUCUUGAAUAUCGUGGAGGUAAGCGGAAUAUGUCAUGUAGCGGUGAAAUGCUUAGAUAUGACAUAGAACACCAAUUGCGUAGGCAGCUUACUACACGAUCAUUGACGCUGAGGCACGAAAGCGUGGGGAGCAAACAGG